rnacentral:rRNA from 1 species
CCCUUAGACGUUCUGGGCCGCACGCGCGCUACACUGACGGAGCCAGCGAGUAUAAACCUUGGCCGAGAGGUCUGGGAAAUCUUGUGAAACUCCGUCGUGCUGGGGAUAGAGCAUUGUAAUUAUUGCUCUUCAACGAGGAAUUCCUAGUAAGUGCAAGUCAUCAGCUUGCGUUGAUUACGUCCCUGCCCUUUGUACACACCGCCCGUCGCUACUACCGAUUGAAUGGCUUAGUGAGGCUUCCGGAUUGGUUUAGAGAAGGGGGCAACUCCAUCUUGGAACCGAGAAGCUAGUCAAACUUGGUCAUUUAGAGGAAGUAAAAGUCGUAACA